UACGGAGGGUCCAAGCGUUAUCCGGAAUCAUUGGGUUUAAAGGGUCCGUAGGCGGUUUUGUAAGUCAGUGGUGAAAGCCCAUCGCUCAACGGUGGAACGGCCAUUGAUACUGCAAGACUUGAAUUAUUAGGAAGUAACUAGAAUAUGUAGUGUAGCGGUGAAAUGCUUAGAUAUGACAUAGAACACCAAUUGCGCAGGCAGCUUACUACACAGUAAUUGACACUGAGGCACGAAAGCGUGGGGAUCAAACAGG
rnacentral:rRNA from 1 species